rnacentral:lncRNA from 1 species
GGCGCUUCACAGCAGGGAAGGGAGGUGGAGCUUCAAGGAAGGGGUGGCCAACUGUGUCUAAGGAGACCUGGGCAGGCAGAGGAGGAAGAGGCUGGGAAGAGACCGUUAAAUGUAAUGACUUCAGCGACAGUUAGUCAGCUGAGUGAUGGGGCAGAGGCCAGACUGCAGAGGUUUGGGGAACAAGUCAGGGAUGGUGCUGGGGAAGGGAGGGAGAGCCUUAUGUGGAAGCUAGUCUGAGAGAAAGCGUCUUGAGCAGGGAGCCAGUGGUUGGGGGAAGAUUAAAAAUGAGAAGGGGAAUCACGAUCUGCACAAUGCAGCCCCUGCAUGGGAGGCUCUCGCCCUCUGCUUGGUUCUGAUGGGCAUUCGUGAAGUCAGGCUGACGGAGUGGCCAAGAAAGAGGGGGAGUUGGACUGAGUCAAUGGGCCGUGCCACGUUCACCAGGCUGCAAGGUCGUCUCCUGUGUGGACAGAGUGGUCUCAGAUGACAGGCUGUGAUCGAAGAGCCUGGAAUUCUUCGGGGCCUUCUAAUGUUAUCCAUUUGACUGGGGUAAGGAAAUUAAUUCAGAGAGGCUUAGAUGGUUCACCAGGGAGCAGAGGGGAUUGUCACCUGUGGAACACUUCCCAUGGCUUCCUAGAAACCAGCAGCUGGGCUCUCAAAGUGUCCUUUAGCCAAAGCCCCUUGAGUUUUAGGAAAGUACAUGAGUACUUGGCUUGGGACCACAGUUCCCAGGCUCCUUGCAGCUGGG